UCGGCCCUCUUCUCUUUCUGCUAUACAUAAACGACCUGCCUGAAAAUAUUGUUUCACAGGUCCGGUUAUUUGCUGAUGAUACUGCUGUUUAUAUCACAGUCAACAAUGUUACACAACAACAUACUCUGCAAGAGGACUUAACCAGGUUACAAAAAUGGGAACACACAUGGGACAUGGAAUUCAAUCCAUCCAAAUGUACAGUGAUUAAUAUUUCCAAGUCUAAACACCCUUACAAAUCCACUUACACACUACAUGGGCAGACACUAGCAACCGUGAGUGAUGCAAAAUACCUUGGUGUUAGCAUCACUUCAGAUCUAAACUGGAACAAACACAUAAACCAGGUCACUUCAACAGCUGGUCAAACACUGAACUUAAUUCAUUAAGCGCAAUAUUCCCUCCAAACAGCAAAAUAUUAGGGAAUUUGCCUACAAAACCCUUGUUAGACCACAACUAGAGUACUGCAGCUCAGUGUGGAGUCCACAUACACAGCUCAACAAUCAUAAAAUCAAUUGGUCCAACGCAGGGCCGCUUGAUGGGUCACCAGUGACUAUUCAAAUUACAGCAGUGUCACACACAUGUUAAAGCAAUUGUGGCGUUCCCUUGCAAACAGAAGAAAUGAUGCCAGGCUACUGAUGUUUUACAAGAUUGUCCAUGGACUGGUUGCAGUGCCAAUGCCAUCCAGGCCCUUCCCCAGCCGCAUAAGGCGCCGCGCUACCGCGGCGCUUAAAACACAAAAUACAGCUUCCCGCAGCGCUUAAUUAUCCCGCGCGGUGCCUCAAUUAUUAGCGCAGCGUCUUAGAUCAGUAAGCGAUUUCAUCCCUGUGAGAUACCUCAGGUAAAUAUCGAUCGGGGAAGUUUAUGAAUACACAGUGUAGCUAGCUGUUUACCGUGUACUGAUAAGGGUUUAAAGACGACACGUGUUGAUGAAAGUCUGUGUUUUCACAAGUUUGCGGUUAACUGGAGCAGGAGUGAUUGGAUUAUAAUUAGUUAAAGAUUAUAAUUAGUCUCUGCAACGAAAUGGGAUAACAGUUGGUGACGGAAUGCAUGGGCUCUUUCAUCACUCUUCUCCCUUGAAGUAGUCUAAAUAAUGAGACCUCGGGCAGACCGAUUUUACAUUUUGAUAUUUUACGUUGUCUACCUAGAGGCGGAUAUCGACAAGUCAAAAUAAUAUAACGAUAUUCAAUUCUCGAGUACAAUUAUUUGGACUACCCUUGAAGAAGACCGGGCGGUUAUUGAAUGGGCACAGGCGAAAGCCACCCUUACCACAGAUGAACACUUUGCGCACCAUGGAGUGGAUUGUUGGUAAUCUGUCCGAGUCUCACCCAAACCUGAGCAAAGUCGCUACAGUGGGACUGCUUCUACCAACCUCCACAGCUGAUUGUGAGAGAGGUUUCAGCAGUUGAAUGUGUAAAGACCACCGACCAUUCACCGGUGAGCAUGAAAGUGCUUAAUGCCUUACUCCUGGUGUCCAUGCAGGGACAAAAAUUGAAUGACUUUAAUUUCAGUGGUGCAGUAAAGGAAUGGCACAGAACCAAAGACAGACACUUACCGGUAUAUGAAAACAAAAAUGCCUAUGUGUUGUUAGUGUUAGUACAAAAGAAGUGGAAGGACAUAUGUGUUGUUUGAAAAUACAUAUUAUAAAAGAAGUGGACAUCUGUUUAGUGUAUAUGAUAUAUUAUGGUUAUAUGAUUAUGUAAAAAU